UAGCAUAUCAAUAAGCGGAGGAAAAGAAACCACCGGGAUUGCCUCAGUAACGGCGAGUGAAGCGGCAAGAGCUCAAAUUUGAAAUCUGGCCCCUCCGGGGUCCGAGUUGUAAUUUGUAGAGGAUGCUUCGGGUGCGGCCCCUGUCUAAGUGCCCUGGAACGGGCCAUCGGAGAGGGUGAGAAUCCCGUCUGGGAUGGGGUGUCCGUGCCCGUGUGAAGCUCCUUCGACGAGUCGAGUUGUUUGGGAAUGCAGCUCUAAAUGGGUGGUAAAUUUCAUCUAAAGCUAAAUACUGGCCGGAGACCGAUAGCGCACAAGUAGAGUGAUCGAAAGAUGAAAAGCACUUUGAAAAGAGAGUUAAACAGCACGUGAAAUUGUUGAAAGGGAAGCGCUUGCGACCAGACUCGCCCACGGGGUUCAGCCGGCUUUCGGGCCGGUGUACUUCCCCGGGGGCGGGCCAGCGUCGGUUUGGGCGGCCGGUCAAAGGCCUCCGGAAUGUAACGCCCCUCCGGGGGCGUCUUAUAGCCGGGGGUGUCAUGCGGCCAGCCUAGACCGAGGAACGCGCUUCGGCACGGACGCUGGCAUAAUGGUCGCAAACGACCCGUCUUGAAACACGGACCAAGGAGUCUAACAUCUACGCGAGUGUUCGGGUGGCAAACCCGUGCGCGCAGUGAAAGCGAACGGAGGUGGGAGCCCCCUCGAGGGGCGCACCAUCGACCGAUCCUGAUGUCUUCGGAUGGAUUUGAGUAGGAGCGUAGCUGUGGGGACCCGAAAGAUGGUGAACUAUGCCUGAAUAGGGCGAAGCCAGAGGAAACUCUGGUGGAGGCUCGCAGCGGUUCUGACGUGCAAAUCGAUCGUCAAAUUUGGGUAUAGGGGCGAAAGACUAAUCGAACCAUCUGGUAGCUGGUCUGCA
rnacentral:rRNA from 1 species